rnacentral:lncRNA from 1 species
ACGCGAAAAAAUAAUUCACUAAGAGAAAAGAUUACAAGGUGAUUACCGACUCCACGGACUCAACCUCUCUUAACCUCCUAUGAAUCUUUGCGCUACCCUCCGGGUUGUCCACGCCCUCACGUUCGAGUCCACGAACGCCUUCACUUCGAAUCCACGAAGCUUCAAUCACGCCAAAUCCACGACGCCACUCGAAUCCACGAGCCAACGAUCCGAAUCCACGAACCGCCUUUGUUUACGCCGAAUCCACGACG